GAAGUGGGUUGGGCGAUCGCUGCUGCGAGAGCAGGAGAGGAAGGUCCGGACUCCACAGGGAAGGGUGACGGCUAACGGCCGUACGCAGCAAGUGGGCAACCACCCAAGGCGAGGAAUAGGGCCACAGAGACGAGUAAGCGCGGGCGACUGCGCGGAUGUGAAACGCGGCAACCUCCACCCGGAGCAACACCAAGUAGGCGCGCGAUGAACUCUAAGAGUUCAGCAAGGGUGUCCCGCCCGAUGCGCGCGGGUCGGUGGCUUGAGCCUCGCAGCAAUGCGAGGCCUAGAGGGAUGGUCGUCAUAGGGGCUCUGCCCCCGUAACAGAAUCCGGCCUACAGACCCACUUCCAUU
rnacentral:RNase_P_RNA from 1 species